UACGAAGGGGGCUAGCGUUGUUCGGAUUUACUGGGCGUAAAGCGCACGUAGGCGGGUCGUUAAGUCAGGGGUGAAAUCCCAGAGCUCAACUCUGGAACUGCCUUUGAUACUGUCGAUCUGGAGUAUGGAAGAGGUGAGUGGAAUUCCGAGUGUAGAGGUGAAAUUCGUAGAUAUUCGGAGGAACACCAGUGGCGAAGGCGGCUCACUGGUCCAUUACUGACGCUGAGGUGCGAAAGCGUGGGGAGCAAACAGG
rnacentral:rRNA from 1 species